GAUGAACGCUAGCGGCAGGCUUAAUACAUGCAAGUCGAGGGGCAGCAUAGUGUAGCAAUACAUGGGUGGCGACCGGCAAACGGGUGCGGAACACGUACAGAACCUUCCUUCGAGCGGGGAAUAGCCCAGAGAAAUUUGGAUUAAUACCCCAUAGGAUAGUGGAGUGGCAUCACUCAGCUAUUAAAGAUUUAUCACUUGAAGAUGGCUGUGCGUCUGAUUAGGUAGUUGGUGGGGUAACGGCCCACCAAGCCAGCGAUCAGUAACUGGUGUGAGGGCACGACCAGUCACACGGGAACUGAGACACGGGCCCGACUCCUACGGGAGGCAGCAGUAAGGAAUAUUGGUCAAUGGACGCAAGUCUGAACCAGCCAUGCCGCGUGGAGGAUGAAGGUCCUCUGGAUUGUAAACUUCUUUUAUCUGGGACGAAAAAAGGCCUUUCCAGGUCGUCUGACGGUACCAGAUGAAUAAGCACCGGCUAACUCCGUGCCAGCAGCCGCAGUAA
rnacentral:rRNA from 1 species